ensembl:lncRNA
AAAGGAUCCUGGAGUUGCUCUUUGUGGAGUUUUUGUGAGCCUACAGUACUGAAAACAUAUGGAAAAGGAAAGCUGAAUUCCUCAGCUGAAUAAAGCAGCUGUUUGGCGUUUUCUCUUAAUUACUAUUGGCCUUUGGUCCUUCUCCACGACAUCUGGGGUAGAUAACUUCAUUUUCUUCUGGUGAGGAAAAAGCAAAGGUGGUAUUUGGCGGAAUAUUUGAACCAACUGAAGCAAUGUACAGUGGUGUUAAAGACUUCUUGUUUAGGCUCUAGUCAAAUGAAUGAUGAUCCAAAAUCUCCCUCAUGUGAGAUGCACACUCAGAGUAGAUUUUUGCCUUCUGUAUUUAUGAGAUUUUCUGCAAAUUGAUUUGAGUGCUUUUGAACUGUGCAAAAUAAAUGAGGCUUAAGAGUUCUGGAUUAAAUUUGUAUUUGUAUUACAGCUGCAAAAAGGCUUCAGUAUACAAAACUAUAAUUUUACAGGUGGUUAAUCUGUAACAUGGGCCAAGGUUUUAUUGCACAAAAAUUAAAAUCAAGGAACAUCAAAUACUGAAACAGAUGUCAUAUCUGAUUUAUAGCUAGCUUUAAAUAACAUGUUGAGCAGAUCUAUUUCUUAUUUAACAUUGUUGCAGAUUUUUAUUAACACUGAAAAGGAAUACAAGUUAUAUACUAUUAGUAGGACUCUCCACUUCAGAUAAAUACCAAGCAAUCAAGUUUAAAACAUUCACUUUACAUGAAAAUAUGUACUUAAACUAAAGUGGCAGCAUGAAAGCUCUCUGAUACACUGUGCUGGGUGGGGGAAGGGAGAAUUGAAAAUAAGGAAAGGAACAAACUGGACCCUUAGUGCCAAGCAGCACAAAUUGGAGUUAAGAUGAAUAAGAAGAAUCCAAGAGCUAUUAAUCGAAGCUCAGCACCUCCAGGGAUAAAUGAUUCUUAUGCCUGAAAUAGAUUUAACUCUCCCCAAACAGUAAUCUCACUCCUGAACAGGAAAUGAAAAUAAAAGCGAGCUACCUACAAGGCAAGAGCAGCCUCUACCUUCUGAAUAUUGCAGUCACUCAAGAGCUGCUAAAUGUGUCUGAGUGCCCCACAACUAUAAAAAUUUGUGAAUGUGAAUGUUUGCAUAUAAAGGCCUUUGACUGUACAUGGAUGUUAAUAUAGGAACCCUCAUUUCUGAACACUCAUUUUUCCUCAUAUCAGUGUCUGUCAUUAAUUUGCAGCUGAACUGCUGGAUAGUCUGUACUGUGCUUAUAGAAACUGUAAUAUUUCCUUUUCCUCACUUAAAACUCUGCCAGCCUGAAGAUUUCUCAGAAUCAUAGCUUUGGUUUUGAAGUGGAGGAAUUAUUAAAAGUUCCAAU